rnacentral:ncRNA from 1 species
CCCCCAAAAUCUAAGGUUUCCUUCACAAAGUCCGUCCAUGGAGGGUGAUUCAGGGCCUAAGAUCAUGCCAAAAGGCAUAGUCGAUGGACAACAGAUGAAUAUUUUUGUACUACCCCUUAUUGGUCCUGAGGGUCGUAGGAGGCUAGGUUAGCCGAAAGAUGGUUAUCGGUUCAAGAGCAUAAGGUGUCCCUGCCUUUUUUUAGGGUAAGAAAGGUUAGAGAAAAUGCCCUGAGCCAAUGUUCGAAUACCAGGCGCUAUGACGCAAAAGUAACCCAUUCCAUACUCCCAUGAAAAGUUUGAACGAUUUUGGACAAGAGUGUACCUGUACCCAAAAUUGAAACAAGUGGAUAGGUAGAGAAUACUUAGGGCCACGAGACAACUCUCUCUAAGGAACUGGACAAAUUAGCCCCGUAAUUUUGGGAGAAGGGGUGCCUCCUCAUAAAGAGAGUCGUAGUGACUAGGCCCGGACUACUGUUUACCUAAAACACAGGUCUCCAUAAAGUCGUAAGACCAUGUAUGGGGGAUGAAUCCUUCCUAAUGCCAAAAGGUCAACGAAGUUGGUGACCUGAUGACAGGAAAGCCGAUGAUUGGAACAACAGUCGUAACUAUAACGAUCCUAAGGUAGCAAAAUUUCUUAUCGGAUAAGUUUUGAUCCACAUAAAAGGUGUAACGAUUUGGGCACUGUCUCAGAGAGAGGCUCAGUGAAAUACACAUGUCUGUGAAGAUGUAGACUACCUGCACCUAGACUGAAAGAUCCUAUAAAGCUUUACUAUUUCAUGGGAUUGGCUUUGAGCCUUUCCUGCGCAACUUGGGUGGAAGGCAAAAAAGGCCUCCUUCUAAGGUGGGUGGGGAGAUGAGGCAUCAAUAAGAUACCACUCUGGAAGAAUUAGAAUUCUAACCUUAUGUCAAGACCCACGGGUCAAGGGAUAGUCUCAGUAGACAAUUUCUAUAGGCAGUAGGCCUCCCAAAAGGUAACGAAGGCAUGCAAAGAUUUCUUUGAACCGGACGAAGAUUGAACCUCGAGUGCAAAGGCAGAAGGGAGCUUGACUCUAAGACCCACUUGCCAAGCAGGGACAAAAGUUGGUCUUAGUGAUCCGAUGGUGCCGAGUGAAAGGAUCGUCACUCAACGGAUAAAAGUUACUCUAUGGAUAACAUGUUGAUCUUCCCCAAGAGCUCACAUCGACGAGAAGUUUUGCCACCUUGAUGUAGGCUCUUCACCACCUAGGGUUGUAGCAUGUUCUAAGGGUUUCACCCAUUAAAGCGGUACGUGAGCUGAGUUUAGAACGUCGUUAGACAGAUCGGGUAUGUGAAUCUUUUU